UAGAAAUUUAAUUAAAAAUAUUUAAGUAGUAUUAGUUAAGAUCUUGAAAUUUAAAAAAUUUGGCGGUAUUUUAGUCUAUUCAGAGGAACCUGUUUUUUAAUCGAUAAUCCACGAUGUAUCUUACUUAGAUUUGUUUUAAUAGUUUAUAUAUCGUCGUUUAUGGAAUAUUUUAUAAAAAUAAUAAUUUUCUUAAUUUUUUAUAUAAGAAUAUAUCAGAUCAAUAUGUAGCUUAUGUCUAAGUUUAUAAUGGGUUACAAUUUUUUUAUUAAUGGAUAUAGAUUUGUAAUUUAUUUAUUGAAAUUGGAUUUGAUAGUAAAUUUAUAUAGAUUAAUAAUUUGAUUAUAGCACUAAAAUAUG
rnacentral:rRNA from 1 species